UACGGAGGAGGCAAGCGUUAUCCGGAAUUAUUGGGCGUAAAGCGUCCGUAGGUGGUUGUACAAGUCUUUUGUCAAAGCGCGAGGCUUAACUUCGUAAGGGCAGGAGAAACUGUAGAGCUAGAGUGCGGUAGGGGUAGAGGGAAUUCCCAGUGUAGCGGUGAAAUGCGUAGAUAUUGGGAAGAACACCGGUGGCGAAAGCGCCUUGCUGGGCCUGCACUGACACUGAGGGACGAAAGCUAGGGGAGCGAAAGGG
rnacentral:rRNA from 1 species